rnacentral:lncRNA from 1 species
CAACACUAAUUUGACAUUUAAUCAAGACUCUCUACAAGUUGACUAUCUCUUACUGGCUGUGUGACUUCUACGGAAGGCAAACUGAGUCUGGGGCUUAAUAUCUCCGUGAGGAGAUGGCAGGUGGAAAACCGAACACAGUCAACUCAAGAGAAAGUCAAAGGCCACACACAAAAAAGAGAAAAGACCUCUGUGGACACAGUAAUUUUUAAGAGCAGAAAACAUAAUAUCAAUAAUUUAAAAACGAGAAAAACGACAGAAUUAGCCAGGAAGUUAUUCCUCUUGAGCACAUGAAUACUCUUUACUAAGGUCCUUGUCUCUACCCAUCAGCCGAAAGUCCUACUUGUUUUCUCACCAUCUAGCACCUCUGCUCGAGAUUACCCCCCACCUCAGAUUGUAGGCUUCAGUUUCAACUGGCUCAGCUCCUGUUUGCCUUUCUAUGAUAUGAAACUAUUUCCAUGAGGCAAUGAGGAAACAGGCGGAAAUCCACGUGACAGAAAGCCGGUAAGGACGCAGAAUGCCAAUUCUGCUGGAGAGGGUGGGAAUCUUGCCUCCACCUUGACUUUUCUGUAUUUUAUGUAGUGAGAAACUGAAUCCAGUUAAGACGCUUUUCAUUUUCAUCAUUCUGUUUUCUCUUAAUCAGGUGUUAUAACACACGGAACAUAAAAAAC